rnacentral:rRNA from 1 species
GUGGGGAAUAUUGGACAAUGGGCGAAAGCCUGAUCCAGCCAUGCCGCGUGAGUGACGAAGGUCUUCGGAUUGUAAAGCUCUUUUGGCGGGGACGAUAAUGACGGUACCCGCAGAAUAAGCCCCGGCUAACUUCGUGCCAGCAGCCGCGGUAAUACGAAGGGGGCUAGCGUUGUUCGGAAUUACUGGGCGUAAAGCGCACGUAGGCGGACUUAUAAGUCAGGGGUGAAAUCCCGGGGCUCAACCUCGGAACUGCCUUUGAUACUGUAAGUCUCGAGACCGGAAGAGGUGAGUGGAAUUCCUAGUGUAGAGGUGAAAUUCGUAGAUGUUAGGAAGAACACCAGUGGCGAAGGCGGCUCACUGGUCCGGUUCUGACGCUGAGGUGCGAAAGCGUGGGGAGCAAACAGGAUUAGAAACCCUGGUAGUCC